rnacentral:lncRNA from 1 species
AUGCCCAUGGACAGAACAGAAGCUGGGCUGGGGCUGGACCACGUGGCAGCCAUGCUCCAUCCCUGGGGCAUCAUGAGGCUCUCUCUGCCGGGCAAGAACAGGGCUGGGCUGUGUUCUCCAGCCUCUCCUGCAGCCCCUCAGCAGCUCUGGCCGCGCUCGCUCUUUACCAGAUGCAGCCCUGGAGCGGACACAAGAACAGGAACCCGCCCGUGGCCACUUCCGCAGAACAGCGCAGGUACCUGCGGCCAUCCCCACCUGGGCUGGGCCUGCUGGCACUGCUCAGCCCAGCACCGAGUGGUUGAGCACUCCAUGCAUUCUCCCUCUCUUCCUGCCCUUCUCCUGCAGACCAUCCGUCAAUUCAUCACGUGCAUUUGGCAGGAAGAGAGCACAGGUGUGGGCACCGGGAUCUUGGCAAGCUUUCACCUCUUCAGUGCCGAGACCAGUGCUGCCAUGCUGGAUUUGCUGGUGGAGAAGGGUGUCUCCAAUGCAAAGCAAGUGCCAGCCAUGGUGAGGUACAUCCACCGGUGGCUCACGGCCAACGAGUCUGCUGAGCACAGGCUGGACAAGGCCCUUCUGGAGCUGACCAAGGAAUACCCCUCUGACGUGCUGAUCACUCUCUUGCGCUGGGCCCCAUCGUGUGACAGAGCUGCCGUGACCAUGUGGGGGACCAUCAUGUCCUCGAGCAGGACCGCCGAGCCGGCGCUGCAGAUCCUCCUCGAUGUGCUGAGCGCCUGGCCAGAGGACAGCGUGUACACCUCCGAUGGGGACAGCACAGGGGUCUUUGCCCUGGCUGCAACAGUAACAAUGUGGAGGGUCUUCAAUCUGACCUGGUGCCCACCUGUAGUGCAGGUAUAUUUCCCCAAACUCCUUCUGCGUCUGCUCUUCCAAGCUUACAUCAGCACGCUGGAUAUGCCAGAAGAGGUGGAUACCUUCUGGAAGAGAUGCCAGGAGCAACACGACCUUGCUGCCCACCCCAACAGCUUUGCACUGCAGACCCUGAAGGCCCUGCUCUGCCAAAUGCAGUACGAUGACGUGGUGGUAGCAAUGGAACGCAGGUGUGCCUGGAACAUGCUGCUCUGUGCCCACACCCACCACUAUGCAGUGGGUCUGCUGGCCAGGGAGAUGCGCCGUGUCUCCAUCAUCUGGCGCUGCAGGAUCGCAUCCUGCCUCUUUGACCUACUCAGCCAAGACAUUUCAGACUGGGAACUGCCCGCCCUGACGUUCCUGGUGGAGGUCCUGGACUGCCUGGACUUGAGUGAAUGCGGUGAAAAGGUCCUGCAGAUCAUGACAAGGCACCUGAAGAGACGGUCCAGAGAGAUGCGUCGCGUGGCACUCAGAGGCCUCGUGGUGCUCAGCCAGGACCCCUCGAUGAACCAAAGAAUGUACAGCCUGACUGAAAGCCUUGGCAACCUCCUGCGGGCCGUGGAUGAAGACAUUGUUGAGAUGACCCUCGUUGUUCUCAGCUCUCUGCUCUUCAACAAAGAGAUAGCAAUAGCCAGCCCCAUCGCCCUGCAGCUGGCUGAGGCGCUCUGGCAACUCUUCGACAAUGACAACAGCCUUGUGAAGCUGCUCUCCGUUCGCCUCUUCCAAGAGGUGAUGAACUUGGUGGUGGCCAAGGGAAAAAAGCCCCUGAAGAAGCAUGUGAGGCAGAGCCUGCUCCCACUCUUCUUCAACUGCCACGAUGAGAACUGGGGUGUGGCACAGGCCUCUUGGGAAACGCUGCUUUCUGCAGUAAGGUUCCUGAAGAGAAGGGAUCUUCAGCACCUGGUGAACACAGAUCAGAUGUGGAGCUUUGCUGAGCGCUUGGUAAGGACAGCCCAGAAGCCCCAGCCCCAGCCUGGAGAAGCCGCCUGCCCACGGUGCCCAGUCUGUGGGGCUGGCAGCUGCAGCCCCUGCCCAGUGCUGCACGCAGGGGCACCGGCCGGCGCCCCACACGCCGCUGCCUUCCCGGGGCCACCCGGGCUCUGCUCCAGGCUCCUCUGGCCCCAAGCCCGGCGCUGAGGGAGCCCCGAGGCGGCCGGGCUCUGCCGCGGGGCGGGGGUUUAUAAAGGUGCUGAAGUCUGUUCCAGGAAUGCAUGGCGCUCAUGGUCAUGGUUGUGCAGCCAGUUUGUUAGAGGGGAAGCAGAGGAUGAGGCUUUUCAGCCUUUGCUUUCCUUCUCCUCUGAAUCUCUUACCUUCUUAUUAGAGAAUGUUCCGUUUCCCCUGACGGUUAAAGAGACCAUCUUUUUGGUGUUUAAUCUGGUAAGCUUUCUCUGUACAGUCUGCAGUCUCUCUAGAAUGAGGGCUGAGAUUUCUGGAGGGGAUGGUGAGACCCCUGACUCAGAAGUAGACCCAGGUGUGAGAAAUCCUGAGCGGUCUGGGAAAUUGGAGGAUAUGGGCCAAAUCUUAAAGGAAUUUUCUGACCCUAUAGCCUGGGACUUCCCAUGUGAACAAAUUCAGAAUCCAGCUGAGGUGGCGAAAUACCUGAAAGAAAAGUGCUAUGAUAACUCGAAGGAGAAAAAGAUCAUUGCAGUGAGCUGGGCCCUGGCAUAUGCUUAUCGCACCCUGCUAGAUACUGUAGGACAGCAGACAGAGGAAGCAGGGCAGGGAGAUAAAUCAGCAGCUAUCCCAGUCACUCAGGCUGCAGCCAACACCCCAGGCUCGAAGCUAGCAGCUAAACCAGACAGUGAGCCUAAGCUAGCAGCUAAACUAGACUGUAAGCCUCAACCAAUGGCUGUUGCUACUAGCACAAGAAGUGGAAAGUGCACAGAAAAGACUGGUCGACCAGUUGAUGACGAUGAUGAUAAUAAUGCAGGAGAAGGACCCUCAAUGCCUGCUGACAUAAAAUCAGGAGUCAAAGCAACUGGUACAAGAUCAGAGGCCAAUAUUGAGUCCUUUUCCCUAAGGGAACUUUAUGGCCUAAGAAAGGAUUACACUCGACAACCUGAUGAAUCUGUAAUUAGUUGGUUGGUCCAUCUUUGGGAUGCUGCAGGUGAGGCUACAAUUCUGGAUGGCACUGAAGCAAGACCUUUGGGAUCCCUGUCACAUGAUCCUGUCAUUGACCAAGGAAUGAUGAGGGGGGGUAACUCUCACAGCCUCCAGGGCACGCGUUCUGGAAAGUGUAGCACAAAGAUACCUGUGUGCAGAUGAUCUUUAUAUGCAGCAGACUCAGUGGAAGACUACAGAACAAGGGAUCCAACACCUGAGAGAAAUCGCAGUGGCAGAGAUUAACUUCUCAGAUGAAAUAACAACUACGAAUCCAGACUUGGUACCAUGUACAUCAGUGAUGUGGCAAAGACUUGUAUGGCUUGGGCCACAUGAAUAUGCUUCUGCUUUAGCAAUAAUGAAGCAGGAUGAGAGGGAAGAGACCAUGCUCGAUAUGGCAAAGAAGCUCUGAGCAUAUGCAGAUGCCGUACAUGGCCCAACACAUGCCAGAAUUGCAGCAGUGGAAACACGUCUGCAGAAAUUAGAAGACAAGUUAGAGUAGAAUCAUAGGAGACUCAGGGAGGAGAUUUAAGAGGACCUUCUCCAAAUCUCGGCAGUACAGAUCAGAGGUUCUGGUAUCCAACACAGACAUUCCUCAGAUGGGGAGAGAAGCUACCCCCCACGAGCUGAGCUGUGAUUCUUCCUGCACAAUUACGGAGAAAGCAUGAGGAGACGGGACGGAAAAUCUACUGCUGCUCUGGAACAACAGGUGCAUGAAUUGAAGGAAGGCAAGACUCUGAGAGGAAGUUCCACCAAAAGGAGAGCAGCUCCAGUUGCCUGUAGCCAAACUGCCAUGUAUGAUGAUGAUGAUGAUGAUGAUGAUGAUGAUGAUGAUGAUGAUGAUGAUGAUGAUAUGUCCGAUGCCCUUGAAGGAACCUCUAAGACACAUACGAAAGAAGGAUAAACAGUUUUAGAGGGGCCCUGCCUCUAGCCAAGUAGAGAUAAGGGAAAACCGUGUUUUCUGGACUGUGUGGAUUUGAUGGCCUGGCACAUCGUAACCACAAGGAUAUAAGGCUUUGAUUGAUACUGGUGCACAAUGCACGUUAAUUCCAUCGAGACACAUAGGGGCAGAAUCUGUCUCUGUCACUGGUGGGACAGGUGGAUGACAGGACUUUCCCUUGGUGGAAUCUGAUGCAAGUCUGAUGGGAAAUGAGUGGAAGAAACAGCCUAUUGUGACUGGCCCAGAGGCCCCAUGCAUUUUGGGCCUAGAUGACCUCCGAAGGGGGUAUUUGAAAGACCCAAAAAGACACUCAGGUGGGCAUUUGGGAUAGCAGCUGUAGUGACAGAGGGCAUCCGGCAAUUGAACACCUUGCCUGGAGUGUCUGAGAAUCCAUCUAGAGUAGGACUUCUGAAGGGAGAAGAGCAACAGGAACCAACUGUCACUUCAACAGUGCAUCGCUGACAGUAUAGAACAACUGGAGAUGCUGUGGUUCCCAACCACAAGAUGAUCUGAGAGAUGGAGAGGCAAGGGGUGGUCAUCAAAACCCACUCACCAUUCAACAGCCCCAUUUGGCCUGUGCGUAAAUCUGAAGGAGAAUGGAGAUUGACAGUAGACUACCGUGCAUUGAAUGAAGUAACUCCACCAUUGAGCGCUGCUGUGCCAGACAUGCUGGAACUCCAGUACUAGUUGAAGUCCAAGGCAGCGAAGUGGUAGGCCACUAUUGAUAUUGCCACUACAUUUUUCUCCAUUCCUCUGGCAGCAGAAUGCAGGCCUCAGUUUGCCUUUAGGUGGAGGGGAGUGCAGUAUACCUGGAACAGACUGCCCCAGGGGUGGAAGCACAGUCCUGCCAUCUGCCAUGGACUGAUCCAGACUGCACUAGAAAAGGGUGAGGCUCCAGAAAAUGUACAAUAGUAGUUUUCUUCUUCUGGUGAAAAACAAAAAAAAGGCAGAAAUUGUACAGUGCAGGUGUAUUAUUUCACUUCCUGAGAAGCUGAGUAGGUUUGCUACUGCCAGUGGUUUUCAUUAGGAAAGAAGAGAUUCCUUUAGAGAAAAAAAACUUCCAAUUGUCUUUAUAUCAAUGUUAUGGUGCUUAAUUUCACCAAUCAUGAAGAGAAAUUCUCAUCACUUGACAUGGAAAUCAUGAUGGUCAUGGAGACAAGGAUGUCUAGGUCAUGCAUCAGGAACAUCAAAAAGCAUUUGAAUGCAGGUAAGACUGAACUCCUAUACUAGUGAGAAGAGAAUGCAACAAAGACAUUGUCCUUGUAGAGUCUUCAGGAUUAACAGUAGAUCAAUUUUUUCAUGUGAAGUGUUUAUGAAUAGAGUUAACCUUGAAAAUAACAUUGUUUUCAAAGACCUCUCUUCUAAUGAUACACAGUUCUUAUCAAUAGAAAAAGAACAGCACUUUUUUUCAAACUGUUGUGCACUCCUUUGACAAGAAAAAGAGUAUUUUUUCAAGCUGGAAAUGAUGUUAACUACAAAAAUGCCUUGUAGCACAUUUGGCACUGUAGCCUCUUAUCCAAGAUUGAGAGGCAAGAUGUUUUCUAUUGCCAUCUGAGUAGCAGUUGCCUCUGGGCAGUUUUCCCUAUCUCUUGUUAAUGGGCCCCUCAAUGUCUUGCCACAUGGCUCAGAGAUAACUCCCUCCAGAAGCCAUUUUCUGUUUAACAGAAGGUCAAGAACCCACAUCGUGACUCAGAAUGACAUCAGCCCAUGGUGACAUGCUCUGCCCAGGGGUGAGGAGCUAAGCAUUCCCACCUAGAUAUAUCCUGGGAUUUUUUAGACAGAGAGGCAACCUUCUCAAAGGUUUCCAAGAAGACACAUCUGGGGUUUUCCACUAGAUCGACUACACCUUUUCCACAGGACCACUUCACAAACAGAAACCACAUCUGCCACUCCAAGAGGACUGCAGCCACUCCAAUUUGAACUGCUACCAACACACUGGCCAAAGGGGUGUCAGGUUGUAUUCUGACUGUUGGUGGUCUUCCUUUUGUAUUAUUGCAUGUAUUUUGUCUCUUUACCCCUUUACCAAUAAAUUGUAUUUCUG